GAUGAAGAACGCAGCGAAAUGCGAUAAGUAAUGCGAAUUGCAGAAUUUCCGUGAGUCAUCGAAUCUUUGAACGCACAUUGCGCCCGCUGGUAUUCCGGCGGGCAUGCCUGUUCGAGCGUCAUUUCAACCCUCAAGCCCCCGGGUUUGGUGUUGGGGAUCGGCUCUGCCCUUCUGGGCGGUGUCGCCCCCGAAAUACAUUGGCGGUCUCGCUGCAGCCUCCAUUGCGUAGUAGCUAACACCUCGCAACUGGAACGCGGCGCGGCCAUGCCGUAAAACCCCAACUUCUGAAUGUUGACCUCGGAUCAGGUAGGAAUACCCGCUGAACUUAAGCAUAUCAAUAAGCGGAGGA
rnacentral:misc_RNA from 1 species